ensembl:snoRNA small Cajal body-specific RNA 24
UGAACAUUUACUUCAGCCAGUUUCUUCUUAAGGUGAAGAAAACUCUUUGUAAAUGUCCUAGAGAAAUAUAGUAGCUUUCUGUUCACCCUUUGCAAGUAGAAAGGGUGGCUCGUUCCUCUACUGACAUAU